AGGCGAGUAAAGAUUUCGGUCGCUUUGGGAGGAGCUCGCUUACUAUCAGCUUGUUGGUAGGGUAAUGGCCUACCAAGGCUAUGACGGUUAGGGGGUGUGAGAGCAUGACCCCCAGCAUUGGCACUGAAACACUGGCCAAACACCUACGGGUGGCUGCAGUCGAGAAUCUUCCACAAUGGGGGAAACCCUGAUGGAGCGAUGCUGCGUGCGGGAUGAAGGCCUUCGGGUUGUAAACCGCUUUUGUAGGGGACGAAAUUUUUGACGGUACCCUUUCGAGUAAGAGGUUGCUAACUCUGUGCCAGCAGCAGCGGUAAUACAGAGACCUCAAGCGUUAUCCGGAUUUACUGGGCGUAAAGCGUCUGUAGGGGGUUUAUUAAGUUCCAAGUAAAAUUUCAAGGCUCAACUUUGAAUUCGCUUGGAAAACUAAUAAACUGGAGUCUAGCAGAGGUGCAUGGAACUUGUGGUGUAGGAGUGAAAUCCGUUGAUAUCACCAGGAACACCAAAGGCGAAGGCAUUGCACUGGGCUAGCACUGACCCUGAGAGACGAAAGCGUGGGGAGCAAAACGGAUUAGAUACCCGUGUAGUCCACGCCCUAAACGAUGAAUGCUAAAUGUUCGGGGAUUCGACCCCCUGGGUGUUACAGCUAACGCGCUAAGCAUUCCGCCUGGGAAGUACGGCCGCAAGGCUAAAACUCAAAGGAAUAGACGGGGAUCCGCACAAGCGGUGGAGCGUCUGGUUUAAUUCGACAGUAAGCGUGGUACCUCACCAGGGUUUGACAUCCCUUGACAGCCUUGGAAACAAGGUUUCCUUCGGGCAAGGUGACAGGUGCUGCAUGGUCGUCGUCAGUUCGUGCCGUGAGGUGUUCCGUUAAGUCGGGAAACGAACGAAACCCCUAUUGCAUGUUACAAUUUCUCAUGCAAGACUGCCCGGAUAUACUGGGAGGAAGGUGGGGAUGACGUCAGAUCUGCAUGGUCCUUAUACCCUGGGCGACACAGGCGCUACAAUGGCAGAGACAAAGGGUUGCAAAACCGCAAGGUGAAGCUAAUCCCAAAAACUUUGUCUAAGUUCGGAUUGAAGGCUGCAAUUCGCCUUCAUGAAGCUGGAAUCGCUAGUAAUCGUGAAUCAGCCACGUCACGGUGAAUAUGUUCCCGGAUCUUGUGCUCACCGCCCGUCACACCAAGAGAGUUGGUAGCUCC
rnacentral:rRNA from 1 species